GACAGAGGUGCCAAGCGUUAGGCGGAAUCACUGGGCUUAAAGCGUGUGUAGGCGGAAUGGUAAGUACCUUGUGAAAUCCCACGGCUCAACCGUGGAACUGCUUGGUAUACUGCUUUUCUUGAGCCACUUAGGGGCUGUCGGAACAAACGGUGGAGCGGUGAAAUGCGUAGAUAUCAUUUGGAACGCCAAUGGUGAAAACAGGUAGCUGGGGCUGUGCUGACACUGAGACACGAAAGCCAGGGGAGCAAACGGG
rnacentral:rRNA from 1 species